CAGGGGGUAGCUCAGUGGUAGAGCACAUACUUAUCAUGCAUGAGGCCCUGGCUUCAAUCUCCAGACCACUGA
rnacentral:tRNA from 1 species